rnacentral:rRNA from 1 species
UACAGAGGUCCCAAGCGUUGUUCGGAUUCAUUGGGCGUAAAGGGUGCGUAGGCGGCGGGGAAAGUCUGAUGUGAAAUCCUGGGGCUCAACCCUGGAACUGUAUUGGAUACUUCCUUGCUAGAGUACUGGAGAGGAAACUGGAAUUUACGGUGUAGCAGUGAAAUGCGCAGAGAUCGUAAGGAAGACCAGUGGCGAAGGCGAGUUUCUGGACAGUUACUGACGCUGAGGCACGAAGGCCAGGGGAGCAAACGGG